AGUGAACGCUGGCGGUAGGCCUAACACAUGCAAGUCGAACGGCAGCACAGUAAGAGCUUGCUCUUACGGGUGGCGAGUGGCGGACGGGUGAGGAAUACAUCGGAAUCUACUUUUUCGUGGGGGAUAACGUAGGGAAACUUACGCUAAUACCGCAUACGACCUACGGGUGAAAGCAGGGGAUCUUCGGACCUUGCGCGAUUGAAUGAGCCGAUGUCGGAUUAGCUAGUUGGCGGGGUAAAGGCCCACCAAGGCGACGAUCCGUAGCUGGUCUGAGAGGAUGGUCAGACACCCUGGAACUGAGACACGGUCCAGACUCCUACGGGGAGCAGCAGUGGGGAAUAUUGGACCAUGGGCGCAAGCCUGAUCCAGCCAUACCGCGUGGGUGAAGAAGGCCUUCGGGUUGUAAAGCCCUUUUGUUGGGAAAGAAAAGCAGCAGGUUAAUACCCCGCUGUUCUGACGGUACCCAAAGAAUAAGCACCGGCUAACUUCGUG
rnacentral:rRNA from 1 species